GCUUUCCUUAGCUCAGUCGGUAGAGCGCGAUAUAUAUAUGCUGAGCGUGGUACUGCGAUAUAUUCUCGAGGUCGCAAGUUCGAAAGCUUGCAGGAAGCA